GUUUGACUGGGGAAGAUUUGACAUGAAGUGACAUAAAACUUGGUUCAUAAUCAAUAAUUUCUAAGGGAAAUAUACAAUUUAGUUUAAUUUAUCCCUUUUAGAAAGUUUUACCUGAUAAUAAACCGGGCUCAACAUGUGCCACUUAACUUGAAACAGACCCAGUUGUCUCAUUUAUAGCUGGGUUGUUGUACAGCACUGGAAAUU
rnacentral:lncRNA from 1 species